rnacentral:rRNA from 1 species
GGGUUGUAAACUGCUUUUAUACGGGAAGAAACACCCCCUCGUGAGGGAGCUUGACGGUACUGUAGGAAUAAGGAUCGGCUAACUCCGUGCCAGCAGCCGCGGUAAUACGGAGGAUCCAAGCGUUAUCCGGAAUCAUUGGGUUUAAAGGGUCCGUAGGCGGGAUAAUAAGUCAGCGGUGAAAGUCUGUGGCUCAACCAUAGAAUUGCCAUUGAUACUGUUGUUCUUGAGUGUUUAUGAAGUGGUUAGAAUAUGUAGUGUAGCGGUGAAAUGCUUAGAUAUUACAUGGAAUACCGAUUGCGAAGGCAGAUCACUAAUAAAAUACUGACGCUGAUGGACGAAAGCGUAGGUAGCGAACAGGAUUAGAUACCCUGGUAGUCUACGCCGUAAA